AUGAGGAUAGAGACGGAGCAUGCUCUGUUGCAUAGCUUCUUAGGAAGGAAACACUAUGAACUGCCCUGUGGGAAUGCAGGCAGACGCUGUCGUCAGCGAAUGUUGGGAGGAUCCAUAAUGUUGGAUUGGAAUAGAACGAGAGUGGGGUGUUUGAUUUUGCUUUCAUUUGUUUGGUCUAAAAAUUCUAUCACUUUCUCUCAUGUUCAUAUUUCUCCCUGUAUUCAUAACAGAACAGUUUUGCAGACCAGAAAAGAGAUAUACACAGUUGGCCCUCCGUAUCUCUGGGUUCUGCAUCUGUGGAUUGAACCGACUGCAGAUCAAAACUAUUCAGAAAAAAAUUGUGAUAUGUAGACUACUCCGUGCCUGGAUGAGUUUUGUGGACUGUGGAACACAAUAGUAACUGGCCCUAGGGGCAUGCAGAGGAACACUGGAUUACCAGAAGAGAAGGUAAAGAUGAUUAAAUUUGCAAAGGAAGCGUGAAGGAGACAUUGACCAGUACAACAGGAUUUGAGCUUCUUUCAGCAAACAUUCCGAGAAAACGCAGAUGCUCUUUGACCAUUGAGCAGGGCUUCACGUUUUGUGGGAUUUGGAUUGAGUUCCUUGAGGGAUAAAAGUUGGUUAUAUCAUCUGUCAAUAAGAGAGAAGUGGAGAUUGAAUUAUUUUGUCAGUCAACCAUAUUUUAUCCCUUUACCCUCUAAAGAAUUACAUGGUUCUAAAAUGCAAAGAUGUUCAGCCCUGCUAAGGUUGUUUGAACUUUAGUACUAUUUCCUAAAAAAAAAAAAAAUUCAAUAUAAUGAUCACUGUUUUAUGUUCCAAACAAAAUGUUAGUUUAAAAAUUUCACUUUAAACAUAAAUCAGAAUUUCCUUCCUUCCUCCCUUUCCUUCUCUUCUUCCUUCCCUUCCAUUCACUUCCCUUCCCCCUCCCCUCCCCUCCCCUCCCCUCCCCUUCCCUUCCCUUCUUUUUUUUGAGACAGGGUCUCCCUCUGUCACCCAGGCUGAAGUACAGUGGUACAGUCUCAGCUCACUGCAACCUCCACCUUCCAGGCUUAAGUGAUCCUCCCACCUCAGUACUUCUGCCUCUGCCACAAUCCCCAGUAGCAGGCGCCAUGGGUGCCUGUAUUUUUUGUAGAGAUGGGGUUUCACCACGUUGCCCAGGCUGGUCUCAAACUCCUGGACUCAAGAGAACCACCUGCCUUGGCCUCCCAGAGUGUUGGGAUUAUAGGUGUGAGGUACUGCACCAGAACUAAAUUAGAAUUUCUGUUUUCAAAACUAAGAUAGUGAUCAAAUGUACAUUUUGUGGGACAGUGGUUGAAUACGCAUCAUUUUCUUUAGGCAUCAUCUAGAAAUAUUU
rnacentral:lncRNA from 13 species